UACGAGAGGCCCAAACGUUAUUCGGAAUUACUGGGCUUAAAGAGUUCGUAGGCGGCGCAGAAAGUAGGGUGUGAAAGCCCUCGGCUCAACCGAGGAAUUGCGCUCUAAACUACUGUGCUAGAGGAAGCUAGAGGUGAGCGGAACUGAUGGUGGAGCGGUGAAAUGAGUUGAUAUCAAUCAGGAACACCGGGAGGCGAAGG
rnacentral:rRNA from 1 species